ACGCUCGACACCUACGGGUGGCAGCGGUGGGGAAUAUUGCACAAUGGGGGAAACCCUGAUGCAGCGACGCCGCGUGAGCGAAGAAGUAUUUCGGUAUGUAAAGCUCUAUCAGCAGGGAAGAAACUGACGGUACCUGACUAAGAAGCACCGGCUAAAUACGUGCCAGCAGCCGCGGUAAUCUGAGCGGGCUGGCAAGGC
rnacentral:rRNA from 1 species